GACGAACGCUGGCGGCGUGCUUAACACAUGCAAGUCGAACGGAAAGGCCCUGCUUGCAGGGUACUCGAGUGGCGAACGGGGGAGUAACACGUGGGUGAUCUGCCCUGCACUUCGGGAGAAGCCUGGGAAACUGGGGCGAAUACCGGAGAGGAGCCAUUUUUAGGGUGAUGGGUGGAAAGUUUUUUCGGUGUAGGAUGAGCUCGCGGCCUAUCAGCUUGUUGGUGGGGUAAUGGCCUACCAAGGCGGCGACGGGUAGCCGGCCUGAGAGGGUGGACGGCCACCUUGGGACUGAGAUACGGCCCAGACUCCUACGGGGGGCAGCCGUGGGGAAUCUUGCCCCAUGGGCGCGAGCCUGAUGCAGCGACGCCGCGUGGGGGAUGACGGCCUUCGGGUUGUAAACUCCUUUCGCUAGGGACGAAGCUUUUUGUGACGGUACCUAGAUAAGAAGCACCGGCUAACUACGUG
rnacentral:rRNA from 1 species